CAAAAAAAAGGAACACUCUGUUCCACACACACACACAUGUGUUUUGUUUCAUGUCUCAGUCGCAGUCUGAGUUUCGGUGUCUGCCACUGGCACUUGACGUGGUCGCCGCCUCAAGCCCAACCACAGCUCCAACUGAGUCUGAGUCUGAGUUUCUACCUCCGUCUUCAUCUCCAACUGGAUUCAAACCGCGGACUCAUCAUCGGCCUGCGGCUUUUGUGCUGGGUUAAUUACUAAGCGAGUCACACGCGCUUGAAUAAUUCAAGGCUAUCGCAUGCAGUUCUCGAUGUUCAUUUCUAUUGCACAGCUGCAACUUUGCAACUUGCCACUUUUUUCUCUCUUCUUUUAUUUUUGCAGUACUUAUUAUAAAGCCAAACAUCAUUCGCGCUGUGUUCGCUGUAACAUAAUCUGGCUGAAAUCGUCGAGGGAAUUAGGAUUGCAGUUGCGUUUCUUGCUGGCAUUUUACUACGCAGCUUGGCGCUGCAAUGACUAAGUAUCUUAUAAUGAAGUGCAUAUUAGCAGCUGCUGUAGGUAGCAGCUAUAAAAGCGUCGCGACGUUUUCUUUUCGGGGUGGAGUCUUAUCCAGCGUAAUUGAUAUGGAAUUUGAAAUGCAUACGAAGAUCAUCAGACAACAAUGAAAUAUCAUAUCGAGUUUAACGACGUCUUAAGGUGGCAUUAAUGAUUGUCAUAAUAGAGAAAUUAAUUCAAGAAAGUCUAAUUGCAUUCCUUUAAUAAUUAAAUUAUGUUUAACAAUA